UUAACUUAUUUUUUUAUGGAUUUGAAACGUUUGUCUACGUUUGUCGCUAGGGGCGUUGUUUCAACUCCAUACAAAUUUGAGUUA
rnacentral:pre_miRNA from 1 species